AGAAUCAACGCUGGCGGCGUGCCUCAGACAUGCAAGUCGUACGAUUAAAGCUCUCUUCGGAGAGUGCAUAAAGUGGCGUACGGGUGAGUAACACGUAAGUAAUCUACCUUUGAGUGGGGAAUAACAGUCGGAAACGACUGCUAAUACCGCAUAAUGCAGCGGCUCGACAUCGAGACAGUUGUUAAAGAAUUUAUUCGCUUAAAGAGGAGCUUGCGGCAGAUUAGCUAGUUGGUAAGGUAAUGGCUUACCAAGGCAACGAUCUGUAGCCGACCUGAGAGGGUGGUCGGUCACACUGACACUGAAUAACGGGUCAGACUCCUACGGGAGGCAGCAGUCGGGAAUUUUGGGCAAUGGGCGAAAGCCUGACCCAGCAACGCCGCGUGAAGGAUGAAGUAUUUCGGUAUGUAAACUUCGUAAGAAUGGGAAGAAUAAAUGACGGUACCAUUUGUAAGUCCGGCUAACUACGUGCCAGCAGCCGC
rnacentral:rRNA from 1 species